rnacentral:snoRNA from 1 species
AAGACUAUACUUUCAGGGAUCAUUUCUGUAGUUUGUUAUUAGAGAAAUCUCACUGAUCGUGUAGAGUACUGUAAUGGCAUGACAGAAAAGAAAGAACUGGAGACUGCUAUGAUGGCAUGGUUGGUUUUAGUGCUGAUGAAACAUGGGACUCUGUGAUAGAUGCAUGGAGCCCAUCAGAAUGGC